AAUUCUCAGUGACAUCACCUUUAGGCCCUGCCUGAAAUGUCUCUUGUAUGCUGGAGAUCCCUAUCUUCUCUGAGAUGUCACGUGUUGUCGUGACAGCAGCUGCCUCUCAGAUAUUCCUUCAGUACACCUAGGGUUUACUAAUUGGCCUCUAAUUCAGAGUAAAGAGCCAUUUGGGAGGGAGAACAAAGUUUAUGAAGAGAUCAGAGAUGGGGAGAAGGAAGUUGGCCUUCUGUCUUGGUAUAAAAGAAGAAAUAUGUGGUCGAUUGGAAAGCUCAGUGAGAUCUGGGUAGGGGUAGAGUGGGUUCGUCAAGGAGAGAGCCUUGAUCUCAGCCUUCCACAUAUGGGAAUCAUGAGCUGGGAGCCUCUCAGAAGCAUCUGGACUUCCCUGUUCUUAUGGUUCUUGGAAGUCAGACAGUUUAUAUCAUGCAUUUCUUUCUCCCAAUAGGCAUGUCUUGGAAAGGGAACCAUUGUUUCCAUGAGAGCUCAUGACUUUUACUCUUUUUGCCCAGAAGAAAAAUGUCCUGAGGAUGAAGGGAAAGACAAGUAUUAUGUCCACAGCUCAGAGUAAACUCCUCCAUGCCUUGGAUUCCUACAGUGCAGACACAAACCUACAAAUAAUUGACUUCCUCUGUGCUGUGUGUGGCAUACUGGAUUUAUCCAACUUAUGAAAUAUAUACUCCACAACCGUGCUGAGAUGGACACACAUGUUAUACCCCUCAAAAGCCACCCUGAAAGAAAAGGCAAAGAGACUGUAGGUGCAAAAUUGUGGGUGCAUCAGACGGAAAGCGUGUCUUCAUGAUACGAGGAGUCCUGUCCUCAUGACACACAGCAGCUGUGGUUCCCUCCACACCUUCAAGCCAGUCAACCGUCCAGAAUGCAGUGAAAAGUCCUGAAAUCUGUUACUCCUAACUGACACACUAUGGACAGUUAGUGUCUUUUGUUGGAGUGUUGAACAAUUUUUUGUAAGGGUUUAUCAAGGUGUUAUUAAACAGUAUUUUAAUGUAGAAGAUAUACAAAUGUAGAAUUCAAAGAAAAAAGAGUAAUGUGUGUAAAAUAAAUGGGAAAAUUGUCAUCAGAAUACAUUGGUGGAAAUUCUCAAAAAAAUAAAAAAAUAAAGUAUAUUCUACAAUU